rnacentral:rRNA from 1 species
AUUGAACGCUGGCGGCAGGCUUAACACAUGCAAGUCGAGCGGGGGAAGGUAGCUUGCUACCGGACCUAGCGGCGGACGGGUGAGUAAUGCUUAGGAAUCUGCCUAUUAGUGGGGGACAACAUCUCGAAAGGGAUGCUAAUACCGCAUACGUCCUACGGGAGAAAGCAGGGGAUCUUCGGACCUUGCGCUAAUAGAUGAGCCUAAGUCGGAUUAGCUAGUUGGUGGGGUAAAGGCCUACCAAGGCGACGAUCUGUAGCGGGUCUGAGAGGAUGAUCCGCCACACUGGGACGGAGAAGCGGCCCAGACUCCUACGGGAGGCAGCAGUGGGGAAUAUUGGACAAUGGGGGGAACCCUGAUCCAGCCAUGCCGCGUGUGUGAAGAAGGCCUUAUGGUUGUAAAGCACUUUAAGCGAGGAGGAGGCUACUCUAGUUAAUACCUAGGGAUAGUGGACGUUACUCGCAGAAUAAGCACCGGCUAACUCUGUGCCAGCCGCCGCAGUAA